rnacentral:rRNA from 1 species
AGCAGCCGCGGUAAUUCCAGCUCCAAUAGCGUAUAUUAAAGUUGUUGCAGUUAAAAAGCUCGUAGUUGAAUUUCGGGGUCAGUAGGUUGGUCAUGCCUCCGGUAUGUACUGGUCUCACUGAUUCCUCCUUCCUGAUGAGCCGUAAUGCCAUUAAUUUGGUGUUGCGGGGAAUCUGGACCGUUACUUUGAAAAAAUUAGAGUGUUUAAAGCAAGCUAACGCUUGAAUACAUUAGCAUGGAAUAAUGGAAUAGGACGUUCGAUCCUAUUUUGUUGGUUUCUAGGAUUGACGUAAUGAUUAAUAGGGAUAGUUGGGGGCAUUAGUAUUCAAUUGUCAGAGGUGAAAUUCUUGGAUUUAUUGAAGACUAACUACUGCGAAAGCAUUUGCCAAGGAUGUUUUCAUUAAUCAAGAACGAAAGUUAGGGGAUCGAAGACGAUCAGAUACCGUCGUAG